GCGGAAAUAGCUCAGUGGUAGAGCGUCGCCUUGCCAAGGCGAAGGUCGCGGGUUCGACCCCCGUUUUCCGCU
rnacentral:tRNA from 1 species